GAGAAGGUCAUUUAAAGGAAGUAGGAACAGCCGGGUGCCCGGCUUCACACUCCUAGCAGGAGUAGCAGAUGGUACCACAGGGAUCAGAUUUUCCUCACUCUUUAAAUGUGAGGUCAUUUAGUAAAGGCUUCUGCAAGCUGCUCCACAGCCCUCCCACAGGUCUCCAGCGUCAUGAAGCGCUUUGCAAUUUUGAAAUGCGAUAUGAAGCACGGUGGAGCACAGAGACGUUAGUGAUAGCUUGUAGCAUCAGGCGAAAGACACCUGACCCACAUGGCA